rnacentral:rRNA from 1 species
GACGAACGCUGGCGGCGUGCUUAACACAUGCAAGUCGAACGGAAAGGCCCUGCUUUUGUGGGGUGCUCGAGUGGCGAACGGGUGAGUAACACGUGAGUAACCUGCCCUUGACUUUGGGAUAACUUCAGGAAACUGGGGCUAAUACCGGAUAGGAGCUCCUGCUGCAUGGUGGGGGUUGGAAAGUUUCGGCGGUUGGGGAUGGACUCGCGGCUUAUCAGCUUGUUGGUGGGGUAGUGGCUUACCAAGGCUUUGACGGGUAGCCGGCCUGAGAGGGUGACCGGCCACAUUGGGACUGAGGUACGGCCCAGACUCCUACGGGAGGCAGCAGUGGGGAAUAUUGCACAAUGGGCGGAAGCCUGAUGCAGCAACGCCGCGUGCGGGAUGACGGCCUUCGGGUUGUAAACCGCUUUCGCCUGUGACGAAGAGUGAGUGACGGUAAUGGGUAAAGAAGCACCGGCUAACUACGUG